rnacentral:misc_RNA from 1 species
GAUGAAGAACGCAGCGAAACGCGAUAUGUAAUGUGAAUUGCAGAAUUCAGUGAAUCAUCGAAUCUUUGAACGCACAUGGCGCCUUCCAGUAUCCUGGGAGGCAUGCCUGUCCGAGCGUCGUUUCAGCCCUCGAGCCCCCGUGGCCCGGCGUUGGGGAUCUGCCCAGGCAGUCCCCGAAAACCAGUGGCGGACCCGUUACAGGCCCUUCCCUUGCGUAGUAGCAUUCGCCUCGCAUCGGGAGCCGGCGGGCUUCCAGCCUCUAAACCCCCAUCAAGUCCGCCCCGGCGGCACCAAGGUUGACCUCGGAUCAGGUAGGAAUACCCGCUGAACUUAAGCAUAUCAAUAAGCGGAGGA